UACUGAAAUGAAUCCGUCACCUGUUCCAGACGGAGGCGGGUCUCGCCGUCGUUCCAUGAGGAAGCCGCCGGCGCCCGCCGAUCUCCGACCAUGGGGUCUUUUCGAGCACUUACGGCUGUCUACGACCUUGCCGUAGUCGAUCAGCACGCUCGACCAAACCACCAUCGCGGAGCACUUUCUGCCUCCCCCGACGCCGCCGGAGCGUUUCCACACCCCCCCCCCCCCCGCAACAGCUGCCGGCAACAGCCGAAGCCCUGUAAAUUCCUCUCCUAAUCUUGAGGUCUACAAGGAUGUCCAAUCGGAUGUCGAUCAAGUUUGGCCGUUGUUAACUAGCUGUUUAAUUAACUGUUGAUGCAUAUGCAUCAGCUCUAUGAACAAUUGAAGCUUUGACAUUGAAAUGGCAACCACCGAUGUAUUGUACUCUGUUAUACUCUGUUCCACCCUCUUUUGAUGUAUUUUGUGGUUUAAAAGGGUAUUAUGUAUCAUUGCUAUCAAGUAGCAUUAUGAACAAUGUCCCACAGCAUCUUCAAUUGAUAGCUUUGUCUCCACAGUUUAGUUUA